UGGAAGUAAGUUACCAUGGGAUUGAGUAUACAUAUAUUAAGACCUUGAUAAUGAAGAUGGUUAAAAGACAGAGAAAGGACAGGGAUCUAGAAAAUCCCUCAGUUAUUAGAAAAUGCUCAUUAAAGUUCUGGACUAAGAAUGUGUUUAAAUCAUUUAGAUUUACAAAGCCGUAAAGUACAGUCAAAUUAUUAGCCUUUGCUGAAGAUUUACAACAUGUUUAUUAUAUAGAAAUAACCCGCGC
rnacentral:lncRNA from 1 species